rfam:Puccinia sorghi strain RO10H11247 Scaffold_3226, whole genome shotgun sequence.
GGGGUUGUAGUGUAGUGGCUAUCACGCGUCAUUUGCAAUGGUGUUGGUAUAGGACAACACGGACAUUGAGAGCUUGACGAGGUCCCGGGUUCAAUCCCCGGCGACUCCA